rnacentral:rRNA from 1 species
CAGCUCUUGACAUGCCCGGUAUGGGUGGGAGAGAUCCCAUUCUUCAGUUCGGCUGGCCGGGACACAGGUGCUGCAUGGCUGUCGUCAGCUCGUGUCGUGAGAUGUUGGGUUAAGUCCCGCAACGAGCGCAACCCCCAUCUGCAGUUGCCAUCGGGUGAGCCGGGCACUCUGCAGAAACUGCCGGUGACAAGCCGGAGGAAGGCGGGGAUGACGUCAAGUCCUCAUGGCCCUUAUGGGCUGGGCUACACACGUGCUACAAUGGCGGUGACAGAGGGCGGCAGAGGGGCGACCCCGAGCCAAUCUCAAAAAGCCGUCUCAGUUCGGAUUGCUCUCUGCAACUCGAGAGCAUGAAGUCGGAAUCGCUAGUAAUCGCGGAUCAGCAUGCCGCGGUGAAUACGUUCCC